AUGAAAUUUCAAUUUGUAACAGAAUAAAUAUAUGAAAUUUCAAUUUGUAUUGUAAUUAGUUACCGUGUAUCGUCUCUUGUCAUCGAAGUAUACAAUUUACAUGUGUUUGUGAGCUACACCAUUGAUGUGCCCUAUAAAUCAUCCAUGAUAAUACAUCCCUAAACAAGAAAGUAUCAAUUUGCUCUCCAAAACCCCAACUUUGCUUCCAAAGUAUCCCCUGGAUCGCUUCAGACCCUGCACGUAAAUCGCACGGCAAUUACCAAAAGUUCUCAAAAUUGAGAUAAAUCUACAAAGACACAAAUCGAAGGCAAAACAAUGAACGAUAGUCCAAUCAAAGAAGCGGCUACUUACUGCACGAAUUCGACGUUGACAGACGAGGCAGAUGGAUUCGCGAUGGCCUCAAACGCGGUCUUGGACAGGACGACGUGGCGCGGUCUGACGAGGAUCGGGAGACUGCGCUGAGCGCCCGGUCCACGAUCCUGACCUGGACCAAUUGGGCCGGG
rnacentral:lncRNA from 1 species